rnacentral:rRNA from 1 species
UACGUAGGGUGCAAGCGUUGUCCGGAAUUAUUGGGCGUAAAGAGCUCGUAGGCGGUCUGUCGCGUCGGCUGUGAAAACCCGGGGCUCAACCCCGGGCCUGCAGUCGAUACGGGCAGACUAGAGUGUGGUAGGGGAGACUGGAAUUCCUGGUGUAGCGGUGAAAUGCGCAGAUAUCAGGAGGAACACCAGUGGCGAAGGCGGGUCUCUGGACAGUUCCUGACGCUGAGGCACGAAGGUCAGGGGAGCAAACGGG